UGGCAACUGGGCCAGCAUCUGACACCUGGCAGUUCUUGGGAAAUACCUGCACACGAAUGGAGGCAAGGCCUCUCUCCAGGGGAGGACGCUGAAGAGGUGAAAAGUGAGCCUCCUGCUCUCCCUUUGAGGCAAUUUGGCAUAGCCUGGGUUCUCAGAUCAGACGGAAGUGGGUUCAGUUCUCGGCUCGGAGCCACCUUAGACUGCUGGUUGAAAUACCUCUGGGCCUGUUCCUGCCUCUGGACAGUGGGAAGGUACUGAGACUACCUCUCAGGAUUGCACAGCACUGAGUGCUGGAGAUGCAAGAAUCCAUCCAACCAACGCAGGCAGAUGGCAACAAGUGCCAGGAGGAACACGCAUCAGGGCAAGGGGAGAGGCGUCCCUGGCCAUGGCUGGCGAAGGGUAGUGGCAAGUGUCUCAUUGAACAUGGAGCCGUGUGGGCAUUUGAGUCCCGGAAGGGGCCAGCCUGGGAGUCCUGAGUCUCUUGUGGUGACCAACAUAAAUAAAG
rnacentral:lncRNA from 1 species